rnacentral:rRNA from 1 species
UACGGAGGGUGCAAACGUUGCUCGGAAUCAUUGGGCGUAAAGCGCACGUAGGCGGUCGGCUAUGUCGGAUGUGAAAGCCUCGGGCUUAACCCGAGAAGGGCAUCCGAAACUGGCCGGCUUGAGUACGGAAGAGGGUCUCGGAAUUCCCGGUGUAGAGGUGAAAUUCGCAGAUAUCAGGAGGAACACCUAUGGCGAAGGCAGCUCGCUGGGACGUGACUGACGCUGAGACGCGAAAGCGUGGGGAGCAAACAGG